GCUGUUUUAGGGCCCUGGACAUCUUACAACUUCUACUGUAGUUAUUUGAGUAUAAAUUUCUUUUUCAAGGGAACCAAGCUCUCAGCGGAAAGGCCAACAUCUAUUAAUACUUUCCCUUCUACCCAGAGGAGGAGCCCUUGGACUGGGCCUUGAAGGAGCGCAGGGUUGGGAGCCCUACAGCGAGGAACCUGGGACCAGGAACAGGAGGUGGCGUGGUCGUGAGACAUCCAGCUGCCAUCCACCAAGCCAGGCCUCCAUACAGUCCUCUUCUGGAUCCAUCUUCUCUCA
ensembl:lncRNA